AUACGGAGGGUGCAAGCGUUGUUCGGAAUUACUGGGCGUAAAGCGCGCGUAGGCGGUCUGUUAUGUCAGAUGUGAAAGUCCUCGGCUCAACCGGGGAAGUGCAUUUGAAACUGGCAGACUUGAGUACUGGAGGGGGUGGUGGAAUUCCCGGUGUAGAGGUGAAAUUCGUAGAUAUCGGGAGGAAUACCGGUGGCGAAGGCGACCACCUGGCCAGAUACUGACGCUGAGGUGCGAAAGCGUGGGGAGCAAACAGGAUUAGAAACCCGGGUAGUCC
rnacentral:rRNA from 1 species